UCUGGGGAAUGGGAUGGGAAGCUCAGUUUGAUUGCUUCCGCACACCAAGAAUGUUUCACUGUCACUUUCUUACUACUAACUAGAUAAAGUCUAUGGCAUGCUGUGACAUUUCACCCAUCCAUGAAGUUGAAAAUAAGGCUCCACAAAUGAAGGGAACUGGAAAAAAUCUAGUGACACUCCAUCAUAAACUGGGAAAGAAGUGAAGUCACAGCUGUUACACUGCAGAACACCUCCAGGCACGACUAGGCCAUUUUCCAGUCUUCCACAGAAGUCGAGGAAGAAGUAGCCUAGUUGUGCGACAGCUCUCGUAUAUCCCUCCUACCGUGGAAAAGGUUACUACGAACUGCUGCAAGGGUGGGACAUUUUGGCUCAGGCUACGCUGGGGAAGCGUGACAUUCCCUUACAAACGACUCACAUUUGAGCCAAAAUGGCGUCUGUUUCGUAACCUUGUGUGGUAAGCGUUUUACGAUGGGUGACGUCGUGCCUCUGCCUCUGGGUCCAGAAAUGCCGCGGGGUGGCAUCACUGAUAGUGGGUGGCACCCGAAUUGGUGUGACGUCAUUUUAAUGCAGCCAUGUAUUAUCCUUUUUGUUUAAAAGAUUUAAAGCUUCAUUAGGGUACAUUAGGAUAAAUAAAUAUAUAGAUAGAUAAAUAAAAAUGAAAUAAAAAUAGCUAUUAAAGUGUUAUAAUAAAUGAAAUAUAAAAGUGUUUAUUGUAUGACGUUAUCAUAAACUCAUUCUUGAAAUUAAUUACUGUUCAUUCAUGUUAAAGUAGUUUAUACACCAUGCAUCGAUGUAAACAGGUCUUAUUUCACUAUGGGUAAGGCUCUUGUGGCUCAGAAAGCCAUGUCAGGCUGAGAUCCGUCCAAAGUCAUAUUUUGGUUACAUCAGGUACUUAAUAUAUAAUUAAUACUAUUAAUUUACAACUCAAUUUGUUUAACUUUCUUUACUUAACCAUAAUAUUCAUAUUUAACAAUAAAACAUUUAAAUGUAGACACAGACAUCUCCUAAUUUAAUAAAAUAUAAUUAAGACCUGGUUUAAAAUAUUUAAUACAAAUAUUUAUUUAACAAUAUAUAUAUAUAUGUAGUGCAUCUAAACAAUGAUAAAAUGUUUUCUGAAUGGCUGAGUUUACACAGAUAUUCUUUACGAACCCUAAUGUUGUGUGAAAGGGGUGGCUCAUGAAUAUUAAUUCGACUAUAUGAUUGGAUAUUCCAGGAAGGUUAUCAACUAGCGUCAGCAUGUAACAAUGAAUAUUCAUAAGAUAAGCCAGUCACCGCGUAGGAUUUAUAAUCGUGUAUGCCCACUUUCUGUUAAAAGGCGACAUCAAGUGGUCAUCAUGUUAAAGUACAAUGACAAUAAAAACAUUCAUCAUCAUCAUUAUCAUCAUCAUGAACAAAUUAAAAAAAUUAUAAUUUUUUUACUUCUAUAUUUUCCCUUCAUCCUUUAAAACGCCAUAGAUUGACAAAACUGUUUAGGGAACCACCAUCAUUUUGAGAUGCAUUUUUUGUUUUGCAUUUUUACAAUUAUUUAGUUGAAUUGUUAAGGAUAUAUUGAGGCUAAUGUAUUUUUGUUGCUUUUUUCCUUUGUAAUGUUGAAACAAAAUUAGUUUGAAUUUCUUCUUAACUGUAUAAAAUGCCAUUACUACAUGUCACUGGUUUUCAUAUGAGCAGUAAACCUGCAACAAUGUGGCUCCCAUUUCGGUAUAAGUAUGGGCCUGCUAGAGCAAUAAAGAAAUAAACUUACAAAAA